rnacentral:rRNA from 1 species
UUCCAUCUAGGAAGAAUCGUGGAGACAGGUGCUGCAUGGCUGUCGUCACUCGUGUCGUGAGAUGUUGGGUUAAGUCCCGCAACGAGCGCAACCCUUGCCUUUAGUUGCCAGCAGUUCGGCUGGGCACUCUAAAGGGACUGCCGGUGUUAAACCGGAGGAAGGUGGGGAUGACGUCAAGUCCUCAUGGCCUUUAUGACCAGGGCUACACACGUACUACAAUGGCCGAUACAAAGGGCAGCGACACUGCGAGGUGAAGCCAAUCCCGUAAAAUCGGUCUCAGUCCGGAUUGGAGUCUGCAACUCGACUCCAUGAAGUUGGAAUCGCUAGUAAUCGUGGAUCAGCAUGCCACGGUGAAUACGUUCCCGGGCCUU